rnacentral:tRNA from 1 species
GGGGAUAGCUCAGUGGUAGAGCAUGUGUUUAGCAUGCACAAGGUCCUGGGUUCAAUCCCUAGUACCUCCA